UACGUAGGUGGCGAGCGUUGUCCGGAAUUACUGGGUGUAAAGGGAGCGCAGGCGGGAGUGCAAGUUGGAUGUGAAAUGCCGCAGCUCAACUGCGGAGCUGCAUCCAAAACUGCAUUUCUUGAGUGAAGUAGAGGUAGGCGGAAUUCCUAGUGUAGCGGUGAAAUGCGUAGAUAUUAGGAGGAACACCAGUGGCGAAGGCGGCCUACUGGGCUUUAACUGACGCUGAGGCUCGAAAGCGUGGGGAGCAAAC
rnacentral:rRNA from 1 species